rfam:Echinostoma caproni strain Egypt genome assembly, scaffold: ECPE_scaffold0006432
GCACUACUGCUGAGACCCAACCAGGUCGAAACAGCUGUCCAGUGC